AAAUAUCUAUUCUCCAUCUUGCAGAGAGGUGUUGAAAUAUCCAAGCCUGAGUCCAAAGAGGAAGAGACCAUGUCAGAAGAAAUAGACAACCCACAGAGGAAAGGCCCACGUGUGGAUCAACCCCGAAAAAUGUGUAUGUAUAUAUAUGUAUAGGUUAAUUAGGAGAUGUUUGCAUGUGCAUUUGGCAUAUGUGCACGAUAAUCUUUAUAUUUGCCUCAUACAUAAAUACUCCUCUUAUGGUAUUGAAAAACAUUGAGAAACAAAAAUAAAGAAAAGAAGAGGAAACACUAGCGGGUCUCCUCCCUCGUCGACCUCUUCUUUGUUGCCUUUUUCCUACUUGUUUCCUACUUCGUCUUUGUGUUUGUCUUGCGAGUACAUGGAAGAACUCAUUCUAUAGCAUCUCAAGUACAAGUUCUUACAGACAGGAGAGAGAUGCGAAGUAAGAUCAGUUUUGUCUUUUUCAAGCAUUUGUAACGUUUUUUAAUGCAUAUCUGGCUUUAAAUUUUUCCAUGUGUUAAUAUAACUUUGUUCAUCAGCUGGAGAGAGUAAAUAAGCCCACAAAAGCAAUAUUUGCAGCCCACCUACCCAAGCCCAGGAGAAGUUAAAACCUGGGGUUCCUUUCCUACUUUUACCAACGCAUCGGUACAGCAUUCGGAUGUUCUGCUGUCUGUCAGAGAAGCAAUGCCGAGUUGGGAGUCGCUGCAGAUGCAAGGUUUGAAAAAUCCUUUUUCUGCCGUAGAUUUGGUUGCAAGGAGAGCUUCAGCUUAAGCUAUUAGAAGAUUAGUGUAUCCAUGCCUUGUAAGCGGAGCCAUUUAUACCGGAUAAAGCUGCGAUAAUAGAGGAUCCAUGAUCACGAACAGUAGCAUCAUAUGUAAUUUAGAACUUUGAUUGCUGGCUUGGAGAAGUUUUCCUUGACGAAGAAUCCUUGCAUGCAAUAGUUUUACGUACUUGCUUAUAACUGGUUUGAACAGACGAGAUGCAAAUAAAGGGCUGGUUUGGUACUUUACAUGUAUGCAUUUGUUUCUCCAAAAUUAGAGCAUAGCUACUAUCAUAGAAGCAAAUAGGUGAAUUUGUUUCUAGGUCUGAUUCAAGACAGCUCAUUGUUUUUGUUCUGUAGGAGAUAGCUUAACCACUCUUCAAUAGAAUUUCAGUGAUUUUACAUAUAGGAUCCUUACAAUAUAGCAUGCUAAGAACAGGUGACUGCAGGUGUUCUCUUUAGUUCCAUAUAGGUAGCAGUUUGAUGUAUUCUGUGAGAAGAAAUUGACAUACCUGGUAAACUCUUCUGAAUUAUUCUCUAUCACAUAAGUUUGUGUCUCUUUAAAAUUUUUUUGGUUCCAUAUAUAUCUCCAAAUUAAAAGUAGGCAUUAUUUAGACAGGGCUGGUUCGUUGUAGUGAUUUUUUGUAAAAGCAGCGUGGUAGGAAAAUUUGGUUUCAUAUACAUUCUUAGGGUUAAGUGUCCAUCCCCAUUUAUACUUGUUAGGUAAAGCUGGUGAGAGUUUGAUUUGGUGAUAUUUUUUUGGAAAUUUGAUUUGAGAACAUUCUCUGUAGCGGGCUAGUGUUCUACUGAUUACCACUCUCUUCAAUAAGUUGGUUCGCAUGUACAAGACAAGGGCAAUAGAGCAAGGCUUGAACCCUUUAAUGGAAAGGAUCCACGGGUCACACCAUGUACUUGUUCCCUUGCCAUUACCAAUUAGCUUGCAGGAUCCCAAUUUCUGAAUAUCCCUGGGUUUUAGGAUUCUUUUCCAGAAAAAGAAAUCUUGCUUUUCUGGAAAGAGCCAAUAUAAAGAGACACCCUUAGUGUAUUUGGCUUUAAUUAAAUUGAUCCAGGGUUUUGAGAGGUCUUCCUGAAUUUUCUAGCUUAGUUUAGUGAACAAGGGAAGAUUAAAUGAUGCAGAACCCAGAAAAUCAAUAAUGUGAUAAAAAACUCAGACAAUUCUCAUAAAACAUCAAAGACUUAAAUACUAAAUAAAUUAUCUUUACUUAACUCACAAUUAACCUGUGAUUGAAACUAAAAUAAUAGGUGUUAAAGAAUUGUCAUGUGACAAAGAAUAUUAAGAGGAAUAUUAAAGUUGUCAGCAAUAAUAUCAGCAAGAAAAAAAUAGAUUUGUAGCAAGGACAAUUUUGCAAUAUUACCAGCCAUAUUACUAGCUCACUUUGCAAUUUGUUACAACAAUUUUUUUAUUUUUCAGUACUAUUAUUAUCUAUAAAUAUUUACUAUACACUUGUAAGAUCAAGAUUUAUUCAUUACUUUUAUAAAUAAAAUCCUCUUAGCUCAGCAUAGUUAAGCUGAGAAAUCUUCAAAAUACAAAGCAGAUUUUUAACUUGGUAUCAGAGCCAACAAUGGCUGGUGAUGGUGAAAGCUCGACAGUCUCAGUAAAUCAAAACAAUGGAGGAAAUAUCACAAUAAUGAAGACACUUAACAUGACAGGAAACCCAAUGAGAUCAUAUAGUAUGGUUAAGUUGAACCAUAACAAUUUCCUACUUUGGAAAAACAUGGUGCUACCACUUAUUCGAGGAAAUAAACUGGAAGGAUACCUCAUUGGAGCAAAGAUAACACCACGAGAGUUCACAAAAGUUGUUGUUCAAGGAACAUAUGAAGUUCAGGUCACAACAAACCCAAAAUACAAGGAAUGGUAUGUCCAAGAUCAAAUGCUUCCUGAAUGGAUCUACAACACCAUUGAACCAACGGUUGCUUCUGAACUAAUGGGGCAUGAUACAUCUCGAAAGUUGUGGAAUGCCAUCAAUGACCUGUUUGGAAUCAAAACAAGGUCAAACAUAGUAUUUUACAAGAGAGAGUUUGCAAAGACGUAGAAGGGAAACUUGAAGAUGGAAGAUUACCUCAAAGCCAUGAAAAGUUUGACAGAUAAUCUAGCUCUUGCUGGUCAUCCCGUAUCAGUUGACGAUUUAGUCACUCAAAUAUUUGCUGGACUUGAUUCUCAAGAUUGCAACCCUCUAGUGUGUCAAAUCACUGAAAAGGAAACGACUAGCUGGAUAAAAUUUCAGUCGAAAUUAUUGAGCUAUGAAAGAAGAUUAGAGUAGCUAAACACUGGCAUGACUACCCUGAAUCUUGGACAACCUGCUGCAAAUUAUGUCAGGAAUACAAACUUCAACAGCAAAAACAACAAUCAGUAUUUUCCACGAGGAAGAACAACAAACAAUAGCAACAGAGAUAGAGGAUCUAGAGGAAGAGGAAGCCGAUUUAGAGGAGGCAACAAACCUAUGUGCCAGGUGUGCAGAAAGAUAGGUCACACUACUAUUGUGUGCUACUAUUGAUUUGGCAAAAGUUAUGUGGGUGCUCUAUCUGAUUCAAGCCACAUAAAUCAAAACUCAGCAUUCCUAGCAACAACAGAAAACAUAGGAGACACAGCUUGGUAUUUUGACAGUGGAGCUAGCAGCCAUGUUACAAUUGAUGUUGGAAACAUGCAACAAAAAUACGAAUACACUGGUAAAGAAUGUUUGACAGUGGGAAAUGGUGAGAAGUUAAAUAUUUAUCAUACUGGUUUAGUUACAUUGUCUGCUAGAAAUGGAAAGUUUUUGUUAUUGAAUGAUACCUUGCAUGUGCCUGAUAUUGAAAAGAACUUGGUAAGCAUAUCAAAACUGAUAACUCCAAAUAAUGUUGAUGUUGUUUUUUAUUCUUUUGGUUGUGUUGUGAAAGACAAAGUUUCGGGCAAAACUUUGCUACGGGGGAAGCAUCAACAAGGCUUGUACCAGAUUGAGACAAGUCACCAAUCCCAAAUAUAUCCCAAAUCAGAAAACUAUCAAGAUUUUGUUUCCAAGAGCAAAAAUGAGCCUAAAAAAUUUAGGAGUAUAGAAACUUGGCACAGGAGAUUAGGUCAUCUAGCUAUCAAAAACACUUACAAAAUUAUUGAGUCCUGUAAUGAUUUCUUCUGUGAUGCUUGUCAACUUGGAAAGUCUCAUUCUCUUCCCUUUACUAUAUCAUCUUCACAUGCAUCACAACCCCUGGAGAUAAUCCACAUUGACAUAUGAGGACCUGCACCCAUCACUUGCAUGUUAGGAUAUAAAUAUUCUGUACUGUUUUUGAAUGAUCAUAACAGAUUCACAUGGCUAUACCUUAUGAAACACAAAUAUGAAACCAUUAAGAUCUUCAUAUAGUUCAAAACCAUGAUCGAAAAUAAACUUGAUAAAAGGAUCAAGAGUGUGCAAUCAAACAUGGGUCGAGAAUAUAGAAGUCUUGCAAAUUACUUGCAACAACAUGGAAUUAGGUCUUAAUAUGUCUGUCCCUAUACUUCUACUCAAAAUGGAAGAGCAGAGAGAAAACAUCGGCAUGUUGUAGAGACAGGAUUAACCCUAUUAGCCCAAUCAAAUGCCCCUCUAAAAUACUGAUUCGAAGCUUUUCAGACUUCAGUUCACCUAAUAAACAUGUUACCUACACCUGUGAUUGAUAACAAAUGCCCUAUUGAAAAGUUGUUUCACAAGAAACCAAAUUACAAGGCCUUAAAAGUUUUUGGAUGUGCUUGUUACCCUUAUUUAAGACCUUACCAAAACCAAAAGUUUUAAUUCCAUUAAGUGAAAUGUGUAUUCUUGGGGUAUAGUCAUACGCAUAAAGGUUUCAAGUGUCUUAGCUCCACAGGAAUGAUAUACAUAUCAAGAAAUGUAGUGUUCAACGAACAAGAAUUUUCGUUCAAAAAUGACUUUCUAAACACCAAAACAUCAGAAACACAAAUGUUGAUCACUAUACCCACCUGGUUCACCAAAUCUCAAACAAAAAAUAUAGUCUCGUUUGAUGCAGGUCAGCAAGGUACUUUAAUUCCAGUAGAACAAGCUCGCAAUACUGAGUCUGGAACUCCACUUCUGGAAUAUCAAACAAGGAGAUUGUCAUUUAAAGGGGGAUUUGACUCUCCCUACAACUCAGAAUUUAGAGAAGCUCCUGGUUCUAACAUUGGAGUUACAGAACACUAUAAUAAACAAGAGUAUAAUGUUAGACUUCAAUCAAUUGAAGAACAACAAAAUGAAUAUGAAGAAAAUGAAGCUAACUCAAAUAAACAACAAGUAGAAAAAGGACACAGAAUGAUAACAAGAUCCAAAGCUAGAAUUUUCAAGCCAAAACAACACCCAACAGAUUUUCAGCUAUAUGUUGCAGAAAACUCAAUGCCAAUUGAACCAAUUUUAGUUGAUGAAGUUUUGAGAUCAAAACAUUUGAGACUCGUAAUGGAAGAAGAAUUGAAUGCAUUGAAGAAAAAUAAUACCGGUCAUUGGUACCUUUCACAUCCUCUAUGAAUGUUGUAGGCAGUAAAUGAGUGUUUAAGGUUAAGAAAAAUAUUGAUGGGAGUUUUCAGAGAUGCAGAGCGAGGCUAGUGGAAAAAGGGUUUUAUCAAAAUGCAGGGAUUGAUUAUGGUGAAACCUUUAGUCUAGUAGUAAAGGUUUCAACCAUUCGAAUAAUUUUGACUAUAGCAAUAACAGAAAAUCGGGAUAUCAGGCAACUGGACAUCAACGAUGCUUUUCUGAAUGGUGAUUUGCAAGAAUCAGUUUAUGUGCGGCAGCCCGAAGGGUAUGAAGACAAGAGCAUGUCCAAGUAUAUCUGUAAAUUGAAGAAAACCUUAUAUGCUUUAAAACAGGCUCUAAGGGCCUGGUUUGAGAAAUUGAAAAUUAUAUUAUUGAAAUGGGGCUUUAAGGGGUCAAAGUGUGACUCAUCACUAUUCAUCAUGAAAGUAAAUGACAAAAUCAUGUUUGUGUUGAUUUAUGUUCAUGACAUGAUUGUGACUAAAAUCAAUUCAGCUUCACUAAAGCAUUUUGUGCAAGAACUUGACAAGCUGUUUACUUUGAAAGACUUGAGAUCUUUGCAUAUAUUCCUUGGCAUUGAAGUUAUGAGAGAUGACACAAGGAUUUUCUUAACACAAACAAGGCAUAUUGAGGAAUUAUUGAAGAAAACGGGUAUGGAAAACUCAAAGAAUUCUUUACACCUGCCAUAUUAAAUGUUGCUCUAACAAAAGAUGAUAGGGAACAACUAAAGAAUCUUACACUCUAUAGAAGAAUCGUUGGAUCCCUACAGUAUGUGACACAUACCAAACCUGAUCUUGCAUACAUAAUCAAUAAAUUAAAUCAGUUUCUUCAAAAUCCAACAGAAAACACAUGCAAGCAGUGAAGAGGGUAUUAAGGUACCUGAAGGGAACCAAAAUUUUCGGCCUUCACAUUCAACUCUGUAGCAAAUAUACCAUCACAGGGUUCUUCGAUGCUGACUGGGCGUGCAAUAAGGAUGAUAGAAGAUCUACAGCAGGGUAUUGUGUCUAUUUGGGUCCAAUUCUGGUUUCUUAGAACUCUAAAAGGCAAUAAGUGAUUGCAAGAUCAAGAACAGAAUCCGAAUACAGGGCCUUGUCUCUAAUAUCUUGUGAAAUUGUGUGGAUGGAAUCAUUGCUCAAGGAACUGCCAUUUCCAAUUGAAAAAGUACUUGUAACCUAAUGUGAUAAUUUAAGUGCAAAAAAACUUGUUAGCAAUCCAGUAUUCCAUGCUAAAACAAAACACAUAAAAGUUGAUAUUUACUUCAUUAUAGAUAAGGUGUUUGAGAAAAAUCUUGAAGUUACAUACAUACCUUCUCAAAACCAAGUAGCAGACGGCUUAACUAAAGUUACAACUGACUCUCAAUUCUACAAUCUAAGAAACAAACUUGGAGUGUUCAAAAACUCUCUCCCAUGUUUGAAGGGGGAUGUUAAAGAAUUGUCAUGUGACAAGGAAUAUUUAGAGGAAUAUUGAAGCUAUCAGCAAUAAUAUCAGUAAGGAUAAAACAGAUUUGCAGUAAGGGCAAUUAUGCAAUAUUACCAACCAUAUUACCAUCUCACUCUGCAAUCUCUUACAAUAAUUUUCUUAUUUUUUAGUACUAUUCUUAUCUGUAAAUAUUUAUUGUACACUUGUAAGGUCAAGAUUUAUUUAUCACUUUUAUAAAUAAAAUCUUCCUAACUCAAUAAUAGUUAAGCUGAGAAAUAUUCAAAAUACAAAAGUAGAUUUUUAACUAUAAGAAUAAAUGAAUUGAUUAAAAUGCCAUAAGACAAACUUUGAUAAGUUAAAAUCAAUUCAAAAAAAGAGAUUGAUGAAAACACCACAAGUUACCUUAAUAAGUAGACACUAAUUUCACAAGAAAGUUGAAGAAAAUCUCACUAGUUGAAAAUGUAUAAAGCUUCGCAUUUUGUUAAUUCCAAACUUGAAUUAUUGAAUACAAUUCUUAAAGUCAAUUUAUAGUUGAAGGCCAAGAGAAAUAUUAGGAAAAAAAAUCUCCUAAUUAAUAAUUAAUUUUUUAGGAAUAAAUUACAUAAUUAAGAAAGUAAUACUAAUUAAUGGAGAUAUAGUUGCAUAUCUUGAAUUAAAGAAGGUUUUUUUGCCAAUUUUGUUGAGAUUUGGCCAUCCAUGUAAAGAUCUCUUAUUUUUAAGAAGAUAUUUUUAGAAUUUCUUAUUUUGAAGAAGAUUUCUUGCAGAUCUUUUAAUUUAAAGAAAAUAUCUUAAUUUCUUAGGAAAAUGAAUCCGUCCAUGAUCUCGUGAGUUAAAUGUUUUUGAUUUAAUAUACCUUUUCGGAAAGAAGUAUCCCCCAUGAUCUAAAGAAUCUACCCAUGUUCUUCCUCAUUCCGUCCAUGAGUUGCCCUUUAAAUAUACUUGAUUUAAUUUUCCCUUUCGAACAGAUAUAAUCGGUUCCUUGCAUUAAUUCUUUGAUUUUGUUUCCUCUUUGUGCUAUUUGAAAAAGAUAUGUAGAGGGAAAAAUCUCUCUUGUAUAGAAAAAGAAUCCCUCACGGGUGGCAAAGGAGUAUUCAUCCAUUUCGCCAAAUGGACUUGGUUCUCCUCCUUAAUGGGCUUUCACCUUUGGCCCAAGCCUCUCUUCUCCAUGAAUCCAUCAUUUAACAUAGGCUUGAAAGUUGUCCUUGAAUUUAUUAGCCAGUGUUUGGUCCAUCUAACAUCAAGAUACUCCUUUCAUGUGACGUAAGUUCACCAUGUGAUGUAUCCAAGCAUUCCAUGCUCACAUUAUCUCCUCAUUUGAAAAUGAUUUGUCCUCGAAUCGAGAUCUUCUUAUGUACGGAUGCUUCUAGCUUUGCUUUGUUCAAAAAGAUAUCUUGCAAAAUAAUACCACUAGACAAAGAUAGAUUAAAGUUAAAUAAACAAUUCCUUUUUUUUUUCUCCCAUAAAAGGGUCAUCAUCAACUUGUUUAUCUCCUAUAACAUCAAUUUUCCUUUUUUCUAUGACAUCAAUUUUCUUCUCUCCUGCAACAUUUUUCUCCUUCCCUCUCAUGGAAUUAGUCUCCUCUUCUUCUGCGGCAUUUUGCUCUUGGGUGAAACUAAGUGGAGGUCCAAACCAACUGAUGUUGAAAAAUCAGCAAAUGAGUUAUGGUAGAGGUGAAAUGCUAUUCGAACCCAGAGCUAGUUGGUUCUCCCCGAAAUGUGUUGAGGCUCAGCAGUUGAUUGGACAUUUAGGGGUAAAGCACUAUUUUGAUGUGCGUUGCGAGAGUGGUAUCAAAUCGAGGCAAACUUUAAAUACUAAAUAUGAUCUCAAAAGAAUAGGGGGUCAAGGUCGGUCAUUAAGACAAUAGAGGGAUAAUGAAAAAAGUGUAUGCUUUUGACUAUUCAAGCUAAAAGAAUAGUGGCUCCUCAUGCCAUCAUGAAUUGCACGCCUUUUUUUUUUUGCCAUGGUCACGCAAGUAAUAAAUGAUUAGCAUGCAUGGGGUAUAAUAUCACAGAAUUUCGUCAGUGUAUCACUAAUUGUAAAAGAAACCCAUACUUGCUUGGAUAUGUCCAUCUCCUCACAUUCUUGCGGUAAUUGUAACUUGUAGGGAUGAGGAUGUGCUGUGCAUAUCAAGCUCAACUUGUCAACCACUAUAGAACUAACAGUGUUGGUAUAGCUACCUUUAUCAAUCUGUAUGUUACACAUUUUUUUGCUCACAGAACGACGAGUAUGGAAGCUAUCUUGAUUAUCUUCCUUUAGAUCGGAUCGUCUUUUCUCCACUUCAUCACAUGAAUUGGCCUCCUCAUCCUGGAUUCGGCUUUUGACUCUUGAUGAAGUAGAAGACCUUUGACUUAUUUUUGCCCAAUUAAGCUCUCUAAGCCUUCUUUGGAACUUUUCCAUAUAGAGUUUUAUAUUGGUUAGUUUACUAGGCAAAGACAUUGUUAGAAACUUGCAAGAAAUGUUAGAAAAUAGCAUCCCCUCACUUUUUUCACUAUUGUGUUGCACUUACUCUCUCAAUAUUCUCUCUCAAGUUGAAUACCGGAAUUGAAUUCUCUUGAAUCAAAGUAAUCAAAUUUUAUUCUAGGAUACUUCAAAAAAUACUGGGGAAAGAAAAUUGUAGACAAACAAUUCUAGAAGUACUGGAAUUUAAACGUACGGAUGAAGAUAGUGUGUGGUUUAUGUAUGAUGCUAAAUAGCAUGCAGUUAGUGACUGAUAGAUAUAAUGGAACAAAAGCACAGUGAAAGAAAGAAACUUAGAGUACAAGAAAUAUAAUAUAGAUAUGAUAUUUUUGUCUUUUUUUUAAAAAACCAAGCUGUCUCAUAGCCUUAGGCACAAAGAUCUUCUGCCAAUGGAUUAGUACAAAGCCAUGGAUCUUGUUCUUCAAAUCAGCCCACCAGAUUUUUCUAGUUAUUUUGGCGAACUGUCCAAUGAUGUUCUGUGCCAGUAUAUAUGUUGACAUAUAAUGUAUGGGAAUGGCAUUGAGGACAUAUCUUACCAUAGUAGAUCUGUCGGUAUAUGAGACUGGGUGACUUUUCUGGCUAGUUGGUUUUUUAUCAUUCUUUACAAAAGGUUUUGAAAAGUCUUUGAGCUAUUUUUUUUUUUAAGAGUCUUAAUCCUAAAUAAUUUACUGCUUCCAUGUGAGGCUUUAAGAUUAGAGAUGGUCAUCAUGCUCCUGCGACUUUCAGGCUUGGCUUUUCUGCACUUACGCUUAUUUAGUGAUUGACCUGACUAGACAUAGUAUAUUUUAGUGUGAGACAUAACUGCAAAAAAUAUUUUGCUCAUUUGCUUGAUGGUAAAUUAACAAGUCGUUCACAUGCAAUAAAUGAGUAAAAGAGGAUGCACUAAGUUACGUUAUUGUUGGAUCUAGCUUUAAGUAAAAUUUUAUGUAAGUUUUGUGCGAAGGAGAAAUGGAUAUGGAGAUAAUGGAUCCCUCUAUCUAAAGCAUCAUUGUGGCUGAACUCCUAACAUCAGAAGGCCAUUGAUGAUGAUUUGAUAAGACAUUGGAAUGAAGCAUUAUGAGAUCAACUGGAUUUUCUUAUUAUAAAAUUCCAGCUUUUCUAAAAUGCAUUGUAUGAGUCUCCAGUCUACUCUGUCGAAUGCCUUUUUCAUAUCACAUUUAAGUAUUGCCAGCUUCGUACUCAUCUUUUACCUUCAUGGAGUGCAUUAUUCAUAAGAAAUUAUAAUAUUUUUUGAAUUAUUUGACCUUUAGUAAAGGUUAAUUAACAAAGGAAAAUAAUUUUAUCCAUAAUUCAUCUUAGUUUUGUCGUUAAGAUUUUAGAGAUAAUAUCGUAAUUUACAAUGCAUAAUAACAUAAGAAGGAACUUAUUCAUUGUGUCGCUGCCUUUUACUAUGGAAUUAAAGCAACGUUAGUCUGGUUAACCUCCUCUAACAUGAAACCUAAACUGAAGAAAGCUUGUACAAAGGACACCGCAUCUUUUUUUAUUAGGUGUUAGAAGUGGUGAUAGAAAAUUCGAUCAUACUGUCGAGACUGAUGCUUCAUGAGCACCUAUGCAUUUGACCACUCGGUAGAUUUUCUAUCUCCAGGAAUAUGUAAUAGAGUUUCAUUUUUCUCAUUAGUUAUUACAUGAGGAAAUAAACCCUCUAGAUCUUUUGAAAAGUAGGCAUUGCUGGUAAUUGAUAGAGUUUGGAAGUGCUCCAGAAAAUGAGUGGCAAUCUUAUGUUGGUCAUAUAUCCAAUCACCUUGGAAGGAUUUAAUAUCUUCAAUGGAAUUUCUCUUCUUUCUGAUAGUGGCUGAAAUAUGGAAAUAUUUGGUCUUUAGAUUUCUUCUUUUUGUUGCUCAAUCAAUUUAUCCAUGAGUAGAUUUCUUCUUGUAGAAGAAGCCCUUGAAACUCAAUUUGGAUGGCUACUUCAGUAUUCAUAUUUUCAGGGCUAGGCUCCUUUUGUUAUAAUUGUUCUAUUUGAUUUUAAUUCCUUGUGGUGUUUGUGCUAAGAUUGCUAAAGUAGGAUUCCGUCAUUUUAGAAGUGCCAAGUGGGUUUUCUGAGUCUUUUGGUAGUAUCAGUGGACUGCUGACCCAAUUAGCUGAUCCCAUGCAUUUUCUACUACUGUAUUGCUUGUAUAGUCCUUUACCCAUAUCCCUUUUUAAUUUAGAAAGCUUCUUAAAUCCACUAUGAUGCUUUAGUAUAGAAAUGAGUAAAGGAUUAUGGCUAAAAAAGGUUGUUGGCAAUGAAAAAUGCUUGCCUGAAGAAAUAGUAAGCGCCAUUGGCAGUUGGCCAGAUCAAGUCUUGCUUUUAAAUUGACUGCCCCACUCCUUUUAUUAGACAAGGUAUAUGGAUUACCUGCAAAACUUGUUACUCCAUAAUUGUGGGAUCUGCUUCUGUCCAAUUCUUUUAUAAUGCUGUUGAAAUUCCCUGCAGGAAGUCAAGGAAGAUUGUGAUUGCUUCCAAUUUUAUAAGAGUUUCCCAUAAUUGAUUUUUAGUUGCUGAGUAAGGGAGACUGUUGACGCUAGUAAAUAGCCAUGUCUGACUAGGAAUUAUGCCUUAUAUCAGAAUGUUGAUAAAAUUUUCACCAGUAUUGGUUACCUUAAUCUUGAUACUCGCUUUCUAAGCAAGGUAUAAGCCUCUUUUUAUGCUAUUGGAAGGCCCAAGUUAACAGUGGUUAUAACUUAGUUUUCAACCUUCUAUUUGCAGUCUAGAUUUAUCUAACUUAGUUUUAGAUAAGAAAAACAUUUCUAGAGUUGUGUUUUUCGGAAUAAACCUUAAGUUCCUAACUGAAAAGGUAUGGCCUAACCAUCUGUAGUCAACUGCUAAGAUCUUCAUGAGUCCUUUGGAGAUAUUAGACUUGUCUCCAAGACUUUUGAAUUAGUAGGAGUUAUGAUUUUCUCUUGUGACUGCAUAGAGGGUGCUGAAGGAGGAUUAUAGCUUUGCGAUUUAUGCUGAUCUAUCUUCUUUCUCCGGAACCUGUGAAAGAAGAAUGUAGCAUACCUUCUGCAUUCAUUCCAGAAAAGAGAAGAAAGGAGAGUGUAUCUUGUGUCUUACCCAAUUAGGCCUAUCUUAGAAGAGCUUUAUAGAGCAAUACUUUUUAAAUGAAGAGUCCAAAUUAUCUUCAGUAGCUUCUCUUUAUGGGCAUGUAGAAUGGGCUAGGCUUGGGCUAAGUUAACUUCAAUAGAGAUUUGGAUAGAUUCUAGGCCUGUUUCUCCUUCAACAAACCUGUUUAUUAGGGGUGGAUGUGGUCCAGCAUUUAAUGUUAUAAGACAACAAUUGUUGCUUAAACUGGAUGUUUGCUGGCAUUAAAUGCUACUAUCAGUCUUCAAAAAGAGGGCUUAAGAUAAUCAGAUUUGUAUGGUGUACAUUUGGGUUCUCAUACUAUUUGUCAUGUGUUUGUGAAGUGGUGCUCUGGAUGCUUCUGAGUGCAAGUACCAUUUUAUGUCUUCUUUAACUUAAGAACCAGCUUCUAGGGGUAUCUAUUUGUCUAGAACCAAACUUGAUCGUUUCGAGAAUUGAUUGUCGGGGUCUGAAUUAAAGAUUGUAUCGAAAUGGACUGAAAUUUUUGUUUUAAUUCUAUAACUAAAAAUUUAAUAAAACAAAACUAAAAUUAAAAGUCAUUUAUGUUUUUUGUAUUUCGGUUCAAAUUGGUAUAUUUUGAUUAUGACUAGGAAGAGAUUGAAAUAAAUCAAUUUUUUUUGUUACUUGGUGAUUUGACCGAAAAUCGAACCGGACAAUGUUUAAUUAGCCAUUCUUUUAAGUUGAGAAUUAACUUUUAGGUAUAUUCAUAUGGAACUGGAAAAUGUCAAAUUGAGAACCUAUUAAGGGUAGGGGUCCAAUGAUUUAUUUUGACUUUAUAAGAUUGAUUUUAAUAAAAUAAGCUAAGUGGAACCGGACCGAGAUGCGACCUUUUCGGGUACUUGGUGUGUAGACUGAGAACUGUAUGAAAUGAUAUUUUGUUCGGUUUUCUUCAUACCAAAGUUCGAAUACUCCUACCAGCUUUGAGUGCAAUUUUGUUGAGAGGCAUGUAAAUUGUCAAUCAAGUUAGAGGAAUUUAUCCUAAUGAAAGACUGUGAUGGAAGGUUUGCUUAAAGGGAAAAGUUUCUGACUGCGAUUAGUAAGACUACAAUUAGUGUAAAGAUCCCCAUGUUCAUUUUUAUUAGCUUUGGCCCACUUACAAUGAUUGCUUUACCUAUUUUACUGACCAAUUGUGUGCCAUUUCUUCUUUGAUCAUACCAGGAGAUAAGCCUUCGAUUCUAAUGCAAAAAUUACCUGUGGGAAAAGUCUAGCUCUUCAAUUAUAUCAUCCAAUAGCGAAGUUUUUGAGGAUAAGUGGAGCUCCUCUUGAUAGGACAGUUUCCUUUGGACACAGGUUGAUUAAAGAGAGAUAUAAAGAAUGAGGGCAAGUCAAAUCGUAAAGUUUUUUAUGUUAAUUUUGAAGUUAAUACUCAAUGAAUAAUAUAUUUUAAAGAAAAGUAAUGUAAAUUUGCAAUGUUUUAUUAAAAUAAAAUAAAACAAGUUUUGUCUUAUAAUUUUAGAAAAGUAAUGUUGUUAGAUAUUAAAAUACAAGUAUGUCAUGUUUAGUAGUUUUAACCAUUUUGUUAACAUGUAAAAUUGGAGUACUUUAAAUUCUUACACCCUUUGUUUACGAUUUAUGAAAUCUUUUUACUAGUUUUGCUAGGUUUUAUGUGCAGCUGUAGCGGUGACCAAAAAUAAAAACUUAUUUUCCCACUAGGUUUUCUUGUCUGGUUAGGAUGGAGAAUUUAGAAAAUGAUAGAUGGGAUAUUCCCAUUCGGUUGCAAUCCGGUAAAAACAAAAACUUAUAACAAGAUGAGAAAGGCAGAAAUCCCAAAUUAUUGUCCUCAUAAAUUUAUAAAGCCAGAGUACCAUAAUAUGGAACUUGAUGCAACUUGUAAGAUGAGCAAAUUAAAGUAUCACUGGAAUUACGUUUCUAUGUGCCUGUCUCCCAUUUGAUAGAAAUUCAAGCUUAGCUUACCGAUAAUAGGUGCUUUUAUGUUCUACUCAGCAUAUACUUUGUGAGUUGGAGAACAAGGCUAAUAUCUUCAUGGUGAUAGACUAUCUAUAACUUGCUGGUUGGAACUCCUACCGGUGUAUCUCUGGACCUCCUUUCUACUACUCGUGAAAGUUGCUUCACUGCUUCUUUUGGCAGAUGACGAGGCCGGCUCAACCAAAGUCCUCCAUCAACUACGAUGAUGGUCCCAUUAAUGUACUUACCUUCAAGAUUCAAAUUUCAAAAAUUAAAUAAGAACAGAAAAAAGUUUAUAUAAUUAAUAGAAUACGAACAACUAUUUUGCUGACUGCCUAAAUAGAACAGUUCAAUUGUCACCUAAGCGCCUUGGAGAAUGUCAUACUUCCCAACAUAAUUCUUGACAAUGUUGCCAUUUCUUUCAAGGCAUAAUCACCUCAAUACAACCAUGGGGAACAUGGCCUUUGUUGGGCAAGCAAGUAUGAACAGUAUCAGAAAUCAAAGAAGUGACAGCAUAACAAUGUCAUUGACAAUUAUGAUUAGACGACCAAUUCCAGUUCCAGAACUUUGGCUUGGGGAAAGGCCGAGCCCCCUCGGCUUGGUGCAUACAAGAGAAAUUUCGAAGAGAAUUAACCCUCUCCGUCUAUCAAUGAGGCCUAGACGCAUGAAACUUCAGAGUGAAGUCAACUAAAGAAGGCAUGUCGAUCUCUUCUGUCUACAACAUCUAGACACAAAGCCUUCAGUGAAGUAGGCUUCAGAANNNNNNNNNNNNNNNNNNNNNNNNNNNNNNNNNNNNNNNNNNNNNNNNNNNNNNNNNNNNNNNNNNNNNNNNNNNNNNNNNNNNNNNNNNNNNNNNNNNNNNNNNNNNNNNNNNNNNNNNNNNNNNNNNNNNNNNNNNNNNNNNNNNNNNNNNNNNNNNNNNNNNNNNNNNNNNNNNNNNNNNNNNNNNNNNNNNNNNNNNNNNNNNNNNNNNNNNNNNNNNNNNNNNNNNNNNNNNNNNNNNNNNNNNNNNNNNNNNNNNNNNNNNNNNNNNNNNNNNNNNNNNNNNNNNNNNNNNNNNNNNNNNNNNNNNNNNNNNNNNNNNNNNNNNNNNNNNNNNNNNNNNNNNNNNNNNNNNNNNNNNNNNNNNNNNNNNNNNNNNNNNNNNNNNNNNNNNNNNNNNNNNNNNNNNNNNNNNNNNNNNNNNNNNNNNNNNNNNNNNNNNNNNNNNNNNNNNNNAAACAUGACAUUAUUAGUGACGUGUAUUUUGGGAAUGUUAUUGAUUCUCUAACUACAUUGUAAAUAUUUUGUAAAUGAGUGGUACCUCUGGUUUCUUUGUUUAUUCACACUUUUUAUUUCAGAAAAAAAAAAGAAAACUAGAGGAAGGACUGGAACAUAUAAAGAAAGGGUUUGACAUUUCUAUUAUCCUCUAUUCAGUUUUCACAAAAAUUGAGACUUUAUUCUUGUGACAAAAGAAGGAAAAUGAGUUACUGACCAGCAUCUGACACCAGGUAUAGUGCGGACAUAGCAAUAUCCCAUUUCUCCCCAAGGUUAUACAAAGGCAUGGACUCUCUCGCUUUGCCAUCAAUCUCUUUAGGUGCUAAUUUGCUCAUUCCAGGAGUGUCACCAAUAGGGCCUGGGGCAAUCCCAUUGACUCGGAUAUCAUAGUCACUUCCCCACUCCAAUGCCAAGCUUCUAGUAAUGCUAUCAACAGCUGCCUGUUGACAAAUGAGAUCUUAAAACUUUAAAGUUAAUUUAAAAGUAGAACUUCACUCAAAAAAACCUCUCGUGCAAACCUUGGCAGCAGAUACAUGUACUUGAUACCACGAAGCUGUAUAAUGUAAAGUUGCACUUAUGUUCAAAAUUGUUCCACCACAUGUGCCCCUCCCAGGUCCUCCUUUUUUAAGAUACUUAAGUGCUUCAUGGCACAUUGUAAAGGUUCCAACUGAAUCAAUAUCCAUAACUGCAGGGGAUCAUGGAAGAAUUUUAUUCAGGUAAAACACUAGCAGGUCCUACAAAUAGAUAAAAUUUAUGAGUUAACCAUCAUAAAAGAUGUACAAAUAUCAAUUUUUGCAAAAGGUAAAACAUCAACUUGGUCUUGGGGCAAGUCAUCCUCCUUGAGUUGACAAGAACAAUUACUCGGCAAUAGAAUGAAUUCAUUUCCUUUAUUUAAAAAAAAAAAAAAGAAUGAAUUCAUUUCCUUGUCUUCUGAUAAGGGAAAUUGGUUGAUCAAAUGGCACCCAAUAUUCUUCCCCCCUCCUCCCCCCUCCCCCCUCCCUCUCCCUCCUUUCGAGGAAAAAGAAACAAAGUAAAAACAUCUGAACUGCCUUCUCAAUAACUGGACCUUUUCUUUCAACAGAAAAUAAGUUUUUCUAAAGAAGAAUAAGGAAUCCUCCAGUGGCAACCAAAAAAGAAUAAAAGAUCAGAACAAAUAGAAAAGCAUGUACCACCAGAUAGAUGCCCAAUCUCCGCAGAAAAUCGCUAAAGAUGCCUUAUCCCAAAGGAGCAUCGGAAUUAGCAAUCUGUCCCAACAGAACAAAGUAAACUAGAAAGAGUCUUCGAAAACUCUAGCAUUCCCCCUUUUAACCAUAAGAUCCACAACCCAACAAAACUUUUCCCUCCCCAUAACAUUUUCAGCUCCUUGUUCCUGAAAAGCAAUGUAGGGAGGAGGAAACAAAGUCUUUUCAGUAUCAAAGAGCCUAGCUCGAAGUCCAAAAACCACAUUACAACAAAGAAGAGGAAGGAUAAUGGAACUUGAACAUAUUAUAACACAUAACACGUACAUCUGAAGAUAAUGAUCAUGGAUCUGCGAGCCUGAAGCAGAUUCUUAAUAUUUUUUAUAUAGAAAGGAAGUAUUACUAUAAGAGAGAGGGAAAAAAGAAUUACAACCACAGGGGAUAAGAUAUUUUUUUUAAUACAGUCAUUAAAGGAGGAAAACAAUUGAUGCAACAUGUAUUAGUGUUAGAUUUUCUAAAUAGUUUAGAAAUUAUAACUUAUCAAAUCUAAAACUACUAGACUAUUUAGGAGUUUAUAUUAUUAAGAAUUACUAUUAUAGUUUUAGUAAUUUAAGAUUUUUAUUUUUAUUAGUAUUUUUUUAUUUGUAUUAGGAUUAAUGUUCCUAAUUCUAAUAAUCUACUAUUUCUUAAUUUAAUUCUAUUUAGGAAAAUUUAUUUAGAAAUUAUUAUAAAUAGUUUUGUAAUUUUACUAAUAGAGCUUCAAUUAUUCAUAAUUUUUUAAGAGUUUUUUAUUUUUCUAAUUGUGUGAUACAAAUCCAGGUGGCACAACUUACAACCAGGACACAAUUUAAGCUCACAUGAGAGAUCACAUGAGUUUGAAAGCUCAUAGCCACAAAUGGAAUCAUGACUACAUAAGCUUAAGACCUCACUGCCACAAAGGAAAUUAUGGUUACAUGAGUUUAAAAGGUUUGACCACAUUAAAGGAGAGCAAGACAUAACCCAAGAGGGAGUUCACGGCGUCAUGAGCUUAAGAGGCCACGGUUUUGGCCUCAUGAAGGAUGAAUGUCAUGGCAUGGACCAUUCAAGUUUAGAAGGUCAUGACUUGGGCUGUCCAAAGGGAAAUCAAGGAGGCAUGGGCUGUCCAAAAGGAGAUCAAGGUGGCAUGGACAGCCCAAGUGGAGACCAAGGUGUUUUGGGCCAUGAACAACACCCACAUGGAGACAAACAAGGCUUGGACGCAACACAUGAUGGAUUUGGGCAACAUGGAAGGAGAUCUUAAUGACACAUGGACCAAGCACAAGAUCAUGGCUCCAUAAACUUUAAGAAAGACUUUCACCUUUGUGUUAAGAGAUGGAUCCAUGAGGAAGUCAGUCUUGGACUGAACUUGGAAGCCCAAAAAGGAGGAAAUCCAAGCCCAUUCGACCAAAGGGAGAAUCGGCCAUGCAAUGUCCUACAAUUUGGGGACACAUGGCUAACUUCUUUCAUGGGAGAUUUUCUCUCACCCGAGAGACAUUUUCUCCUGCACAUGGAAUAUUUCUCCUUCAUAUAAUCACAAUCUGCAGCAAAAAGAGUCCAUAAAAUCAUGGACUCUUGGGAAUCAAGCAUAGGAAGGCCGAUCACAUCUCUUCAAGCCUUCCUAACCGAGCUCUUCUCAUCCAAAGACAUUAAACACGUGUUACAACAUAUUUAACAUGUGGAGAAUCAAAGGAAUUUAUCCCAACCUCUUGCUCAAUUCUCCCCUUAAAAUUUCUUAAGAAAGAAGAGUUUUCUCCUUCAACAACUUGGCUGAACUUUAUGUUAUCUUUAAGGCCGAUAUUCUCCUCAAAAUAAAUGUCAUUGACAAGUACUCAACUUCAAAGAUAAAGGUCAAAGCAUGGACGGCAAGUUGAAGAAAGAAAAGUCCUUUAAUGUAUUUUAAUCAUGUGUCAAUUAUGAGUUUAUCAACUAGGAGUAGCUAUCU
rnacentral:lncRNA from 1 species